ACGCUGGCGGCAGGCCUAACACAUGCAAGUCGAGCGGCAGCACGGGUACUUGUACCUGGUGGCGAGCGGCGGACGGGUGAGUAAUGCCUAGGAAUCUGCCUGACAGUGGGGGAUAACGCUCGGAAACGGACGCUAAUACCGCAUACGUCCUACGGGAGAAAGCAGGGGACCUUCGGGCCUUGCGCUAUCAGAUGAGCCUAGGUCGGAUUAGCUAGUUGGUGGGGUAAUGGCUCACCAAGGCGACGAUCCGUAACUGGUCUGAGAGGAUGACCAGCCACACUGGAACUGAGACACGGUCCAGACUCCUACGGGAGGCAGCAGUGGGGAAUAUUGCACAAUGGGCGCAAGCCUGAUGCAGCCAUGCCGCGUGUGUGAAGAAGGCCUUAGGGUUGUAAAGCACUUUCAGCGAGGAGGAAGGCGUUGUACUUAAUAGCUGCAGCGAUUGACGUUACUCGCAGAAGAAGCACCGGCUAACUCCGUGCCAGCAGCCGCGGUAAUACGGAGGGUGCAAGCGUUAAUCGGAAUUACUGGGCGUAAAGCGCACGCAGGCGGUUUGUUAAGUCAGAUGUGAAAUCCCCGAGCUUAACUUGGGAACUGCAUUUGAAACUGG
rnacentral:rRNA from 1 species